rnacentral:lncRNA from 1 species
UCUCUUCACAAAUUGCAAAACCUACAAGUUCUCUAAUCAUGAUAAGGGAAAUGUUCAUACAAGAUUAAUCUACAAAAUUACAGGAAAAACUAUGUACCAUUAAAGUGCUAGAGCAUAUUAUAACCCCAUCACUAAAAAUUAAGAAUUCAAGGAGUAUAACAUACUGCCACAUUCAUAUGUACAUUGUCAACGCCUUGUGGAACCCAGAAGUAGUAUUUCGCUUUUAUGAUGAUACGUCACAUUUUUUCCACAUACUUUUGUUCUUGCCUACAAAACUAUAUUUCCAUACUGUUUGAGGAAUAAAUAACUGAUGCACACAUAUCUGAAAAUAUAUACUGCAUCAAACAUGUGUGUACAUGCAGAACUAUAGCUUCCUCUUCACAAAUCCUAAAAAAUGUAUCACCUGUGCUUCAGCUUCCUCUUCGCCAAGCUUGCUUUGGAGUACUCUCUUCUCCACACUUCUCGAUGUGGGACUGGGGUGUUACACUCUUUGUCAAACCUACAUACAAUAUGGGAGUAGGACACUGAAAAGCUGUUAUUAGAGAUGCAUCCACUUGAGGGUUAUAGGAUUGAAUUUAAUAAAACUCUAUAACAUUUGUUUGCAUGUAUAACAACGUCUGUAAGCACAUUAUAUAACAAAUAACACUAUAUACUAGGAACAGAAGGGGCGCCAACAAAACUGUCUUCUUACCGCUUUCUCCAUGGUGACUCUGACACCAGUCUCCCAUUUGUCUAGACAUACCUUAGUUUGAUGGAUCACUAUAUUAGACCCUAAAAGGACAUAAACCAAUGAACUAAAUGAAACUAGAAAAAAAAAAAAACGAAUAAUAUAUUGAGAACAAGGGAACAUUGCAUCUGAUAAAGUCAAUUUAACGAAUAAUAUAUUGAGAACAAGGGAACAUUGCAUCUGAUAAAGUCAAUUUAAAAAAAUUAUAUGCGGAAGAUAACACCUAUUAGAGCAAGGAAUCUGAAAACUGAAGUUUUCAAACCAUACUACUGGCUUAAGUGUUUCAGUGGUAGAAUAGCCGAUCUAGGUCGCACGCAUUAAUUUGUUCACAACUAUAUCUAUCAAACCCUCUUCUUCCUUCCCUGUGUCAAUAAUAUUAUUGCCCCUUUCGGGUAAUAUACAUAUAAAAUAAACUGUAGAAGAUUCCUACGAAUUGUUCAAGUGAUGUUACAUAUAAGAAGAAAGUAAGGAACAGUUAAAGCUAUGUUUAAAGAGCUACUAGGAAGUUGAAUGAGUUGAACUGGAAAGAAAGAGCUACUAAUAUAGGUACCUACUUCAACUUUCAGCUGGUUUGUUAUGUAACCCAAAGAGCUCUAGAUCCAAUUCAUAUAAAGCUUAGAAUAUGUAGAAAAUAGUAGUAACUAGGAUUAGACACUUUAAUUUACAUGAAUGGAGAUAUUGUAGAAUAUCGCAGAGCUAAAGAAAAUAAAGAAGAUGCUAGUAUUGGGAUAGUAUAAAACCUAGUUAGGAGUGAAUAAUCAUAUAUAUGUAGUAGAAUCUAAUUACCUCAAUUGAUUUGGUCAAGUUUCCAUCCGUAAUUAUACAUGCGAUCUCCUGUAUUCUACUCACUUCUACACCCAGACCUACAUCAGUGACACAUUGGAAAAAUUAUAUUGACCACGUCUCAGAUCACAAAAGCCAGCUAAAUUAACCUUGUCCAACUCCUCUCAUUAAGUAGGAUAUACACAUGUCAUGGAUAAAUAUUAAAGGAAGAUGCUCUUACAAACUUUGCGGGUAGGAUUUGAAGAAUGAGCAUAAAACUAUUACUCUUAGGCCUUAGCUAAUAACAAAUAACAUAUGGAGGAUAAAGAUGGAACCAAAAGGGAGAUCUUUCAGAUUGAGCAGAAACAAAAUACGAUAUUGAAUUUCCACUAGCCUAACAAAAUGUCGCCGACUUAGGUAAAGGACGAGAAAAGCUAAAAGGUUCACUUAUCCUUUAAAAAUAGAAUUCGGACUUUAUGUGGUCACUGCUUUUAUGGGAAAUGUAGUAAUUAUAACUGAACAAACAAAUGAAGAGCAGCAAGGCAACAAGGCCAGAUAAAACAAAACUUGAGAAAGGAAUCAAAGAAGAUCGCUGUAGUGGAGUGAGCAGCUACAUAGUUGCUUAUUAAUACAGAUAUGAUCAAGGAAUCAACUACUCUUUCUAAAACCUAAGUAUAAAAAUUCUAAGUCUUCUCAAUGACUUGCAAACAUUAGCUAAAUGUAACAUUUAAGUGAUACCAAAGCCUGUCUGCAAAGAAAUGAACACCCUAAGGAAUAACAGCAUAGUGAUCCAUAUGUAUACAAUCAAAAGUAUUGUUUGGCAGUCGAUCCAAAAUUUCCCUAUCAGAAGAACUUGAACAAUAGUCCAGACUAUAAAAAUUCAAAAUAAAA